AAGUGAAAUACAUGAUGAAUUACUACCAAGACAAGCCUCCGGUCGUCGGCGCUCCUCCUCCGUCGGGGUAUCCAACAGCCUACCCUGUAGUAGGUCCACCGGCUCCACCUCAAACCGUGUAUGUUAAUCAGCCGCCGGCGGAAUCAAUACCGGCAGGGUGCUGCGGUUGCUUGGCAGGAUGUUUGGCUGGCAUUUGCUGCUGCUGUACCCUUGAAAUUUGUUUUUGAUACAAUUUGCUUGGGGGUGGAGGAGAAGCCAAGAAGAUACAUGGAAUCAACGCCUGCCCAUGGAAUAUGAUGCCAACAGUUUGGUUUGCUUAAUGAAUAAGAAGUUGAUGACUUUGCUUUCAUUUAUUGAAAUCAUGUUGUGAAAAAUGAAUUGCUUUUACUUUUUGAACACAAAGUGUUGUGGAAAUGGUACUAGUUUGAGGACUGCUGUAAUAGAUUGUUGAAAGCGAAUUGCUCGGUCAUCACUUUUGA